CAUGCAAGUUGAACGAGAGUGUUAGAUAGCUUGCUAUUUAGCAUGAAAGUAGCGCACUGGUGAGUAACACGUGGGAACGUACCUAUAGGUGGGGGAUAACGUUUGGAAACGAACGCUAAUACCGCAUACGCCCUGAGGGGGAAAGAUUUAUUGCCGAUAGAUCGGCCCGCGGAAGAUUAGGUAGUUGGUGGGGUAAAGGCCUACCAAGCCGACGAUCUAUAGCUGGUCUGAGAGGACGAUCAGCCACAUUGGAACUGAGACACGGUCCAGACUCCUACGGGAGGCAGCAGUGAGGAAUAUUGGGCAAUGGAGGCAACUCUGACCCAGCCAUGCCGCGUGAGUGAAGAAGGUUUUCGGAUUGUAAAGCUCUUUCGCACGGGACGAUGAUGACGGUACCGUGAUAAGAAGCCCCGGCUAACUUCGUGCCAGCAGCCGCGGUAAUACGAAGGGGGCAAGCGUUGUUCGGAAUUACUGGGCGUAAAGGGAGUGUAGGCGGUUAUGUAAGAUAGCGGUGAAAUGCCGGGGCUCAACCUCGGAAUUGCCGUUAUAACUAUGUAACUA
rnacentral:rRNA from 1 species